CGCGGUAUAGUGACCGUGCGAAGGUAGCAUAAUCAUUAGUCUUUUAAUUGAAGGCUUGUAUGAAUGGUUGGACGAGAAGUAAUCUGUCUCUGUUGAAAAAAUUGAAUUUAACUUUUGAGUGAGAAGGCUUAAAUGACCUAGAGGGACGAUAAGACCCUAUAAAGUUUAAUAUUACAGCAAUAGAAAAUUAAUUAGGUUAUAAGAUUUGUUAUUGUAGGUAGUAUUUUGUUGGGGCGACAAGAAUAUAAAUAAUUUAACUGUUCUUUUUUGUAUCAAAGAUAUUUGAGUUGAUGAUCUUUUUAAGAGUAAUAGAGUAAAUUACUUUAGGGAUAACAGCGUAAUUUUUUUUGAGAGUUCUUAUCGACAAAAGAGUUUGCGACCUCGAUGUUGAAUUAAAGAUUCUUUAUAGUGCAGAAGCUAUACAAGAAGGUCUGUUCGACCUUUAAAUCUUUACAUGAUUUGA
rnacentral:rRNA from 1 species